rnacentral:rRNA from 1 species
CAGAGGGUGCGAGCGUUAAUCGGAAUUACUGGGCGUAAAGCGUGCGUAGACGGUUAUCUAAGUCGGAUGUGAAAGCCCCGGGCUCAACCUGGGAAUUGCAUUCGAGACUGAAUAGCUAGGGUACGGUAGAGGGAAGUGGAAUUUCCGGUGUAGCGGUGAAAUGCGUAGAUAUCGGAAGGAACAUCAGUGGCGAAAGCGACUUCCUGGACCAGUACCGACGUUCAGGCACGAAAGCGUGGGGAGCAAACAGGAUUAGAUACCCUGGUAGUCCACGCCAUAAACGAUGAGGACUAGACGUUGGAGGGGUAAGCCUUUCAGUGUCGUAGCUAACGCGCUAAGUCCUCCGCCUGGGGAGUACGGCCGCAAGGUUG